CAGGCAUGCUGGAGCCCCGCCAGCGGCGCCUGGCCUAUGAGGCCCGUCACCGGACGGGGCAGAA
rfam:Mesorhizobium loti strain TFLA 01-765 contig_7, whole genome shotgun sequence.